AAGAUAUUCUUAGCAUUUUCUCUAUGCAACAAUGAUACUAAAUCUUCUAUUUCAUAUACUCCAGUAACUCCACCUAAUAAAUAUUUCAUUUACCUAUACUUUCUGCUAAAAUAUCUUCUACACUUUCAAGAGUACUUUAAUAUCAACUUACGUUCCAGAUUGAUUCCUUCAUAAGGAUCAUAAUAUUCCUCUUUAGAUUGUAAAUCUUCCAAUUGGAUAGUUUCUUUUUCAACUUCUUCAUCCAGUAUAAUUUCUGCAUCUUUGUCAUCGAAAACUUUAUAAGCGUUACUUAAGGAACCUGUAAUUGCAGAGUACAUAUGUAAUAUGUAUGUAUAACCUUGCUAACGUGAUACCUAUGCCACCCAUUCGUGCAGGAAUAUGAACUGUAUGUAACUUCAAGAGGAUGUAUAAAAAUGUAUAUUUUUCUUAUAUAAAUAAAUUAUAUAUAACAUUAAAUUCUAGCAAAUGACUGAAUAAAAAAACGAGUUUUUCAUA